AUGUGUGAUCAUGUCGUCGGCGCCACCACCACCUUCGCCCUCUGGCACAAGAUCAAGGACUAUUUCCUCGCCAACCGCGCCGCCUGCUUUAUGAUCCUCAACUGCCAGUACCGCAAUCUCAAGCAGGGGGAUCUCUCUGUCUCGGAGUACGAGCGCCGCAUGAAGCAGCUCACCGACGCCCUUGCCGACAUCGACCACGGUGUCAAAGAGGUGGAUCUCACAACGCAGUUCCUGCAUGGGCUCGACAAGCGCCUCGAAACAAUUCGGGUCGUUCUUGGCGAUCAGACGCUCCCCUUCGACACCGUCCUUUCCCGCGUUAUCCUGGCAGAGGAGUCCCAGGCUCAGCGCGCGGCGGAGGAGAGCGCCUCGGCUUUCGCCAUGCCGGGCGGUGGCUCGUCGAGCGACCUUUCCGGCGCCGGUGGACGCGCCCCAAUUGACCGUGUCGAUCGGUCUUCCGGCACCAACUACGAGCGCUCCUACGGGGCCCCUCCUGCCUCCGGUCGUGGGCGCGGCGAUCGCUCUAGCGACGGUGGUGAUCGUGGCCGCGGGCGCGGCCGUGGGCGUGGCCGUGGCCGUGGUGACAGCGGCAGGCGUGGCCAGCCUUCUCCAGCGCCGUUCUCUCCGUUCACCGGCUACUUCGCCCCCUAUGGCAUGGCGCUCCUGGCACCGCGUUCCGGCUGGAUCCCACCCAGCGCGGCUGGCGUGCUCGGCCCCCGCCCGGGUGUCCAUGCUCAGGCGUACCAUGCUUACACGCCCCCGACGCCACCCGCACCGUUCUAG
rnacentral:rRNA from 1 species